rnacentral:misc_RNA from 1 species
CCAUUGCUAUCCUUCCUGUUUGAGGCCCAGAAUGUGCGCCCAUCCUUGUUUGCCUCUCAUCUUUAAACCACUGCAGGAGUUUUAAUGCUCUCUUCUGAGCUAGAGGACUCCCCAGCAGUGCAACUUCAAGAAGUACGGGGACAAUUCCAGAUUUAGCCAUUUCUCUGAGAUGAGCUUUGAUAAGCUAGAAUCAUCAGAAUAUAUGCUGAUAAUUCUUGGCAUUUGGGUUUUU